UGUUGCCUGCAUAUAAGGCCUUGUGCCAUACAGACAACCUGCAGAUUUAUGGACAGGCAACUGGUGAUCACGUGAGAGAAGGAACAUCAAAUGUCCAUGAAAUAAAAAUAUGCCAUCUUGAUGCCAAUGCUAAGGUAGCUGAGUGUGUUAACUGAAUGUAAGGAGCUUUUAGGCAACUGGUUUAUAUGUAGGUCUGAGCACUGAGAUUUUUGGAUUUUCUCAGAUGAAUGUCAUCAGAAAUGUCCAUUAAUUAAAAUUAAAACUCAUUAAGUUCCUAGCAACUGCAAAUAUUUUGAUGUACACAAUGCAAUGAUUCUUUUGGUUUGCUUCCAACUGGAGAUAUUCUAUGAUUCAACAUACUGAUUUUCUUCUUUUCAAAGAGUUUUUGAGAUGCUCAUUUUAUGAACAGAUCUUGUCAUGAUCACCGGAGGAGUCUUUCAAAGAGAGAUUUUAAGGCUACCAGUAUCAGAACAAUCAAUUAAUACAGAGAGAGAAUAAAUUAAGGCAUAUUUCAUUGAGAAUUCCUCACUACUAGGUCUUUCCUAAAGCACCAGCUCAGGUAAUAUCUGUGAGGGCUUCUGGCAGUUACCAAUACUUUGAAAUGUGUGCCCAUAUACAAACUACUGUGAGGUACGUUGUUGGUGUUACUGUCACAGAGGUUUGAACUGUCUAUUGUGGAGAAGAGUCUAACUGUGAAAAUGACUUAUUGGCUUCUCUUACAGAGCUACACUGGAUGCCUGUCUCACAGCUCAGCACAAGCUUUUUUUUUUUUUUUUUUUUUUUUUUUUUGGAUCAUUUUGUGCUUUAUGGGCUUCACAGUGAAGGUUGGUUUCAAAGAGAGAGGUGUGGGAGUCACUGUCCUUAGUGAGGUUCAAAAGCUGUGUGGGCAUGGUGCUGGGCAGAGGUGGGAGUUGAACCAGAUGACCUCAAGACUUGCUAUCCAACCUCAGUCAUUCAAUGGUUCUAUGGAGAGGCAAAUGAAGAACAGCAAAAAUGUCUGAAAGGAGUCAGAUGAGGAAUGUGGGGAGAAAGAUGACUUCCAGUAGUCCUCAGUUAAAGAAAGUUGAAGAAAAAUUCAGGUGUGCGCCAGCAAGGUAAGGUUGCAUGGGUCAAGACUGAAAGGAGAAGAUACAAGAUGAUGAAAGCCCAAAUGAGACCUUCCCUUUUGUGGUUGGACAGAAGUCAUCAUUUCCACUAAUAUAUUUACUGAGGUAAGGCUAAAUGGCUAAUGAGAUGGAAAUUUAUGCACUCCCUAUGAAAAUUUGCAGCUUAUCUUUAGCUCCUCAAAGGGAUGUGAAGAGAGGAAGCCAAACUGAGCAGGCUGAGAUUUCAGUGGACAGCUCUGUAUGCCACCUGCACAGAAGUGGCAGCUGGAAAAUGAGAAUAUCCAGAGUUGUAGAAAGGGAGACAUUAGAUUUUAUGACACUGCGAGCAUCUAUUUUGGAAAAGUCAAUGCAAAUGAAUCUUCAGAGAAUCUGAAAGGAGUGCUAAACUGGUUGGCAUAUACUCAGAAAAUGGAGGACCCUAUAUCAAGAUCAUACAGCCAGCGGAAGAGACGAUUUAGAAAGUGAUUUUUCAUCUUAACCAAUGAUGUAGCAUCAUCAAUUUUCCCAGACAGCCUUCAGGUCCCCAGGGCUUCAGGAUGGCACCUAAGAGAUAAUGUGACAUAGGACUUGGUCCAACGCUGUCUAAUUUUUAGGAACAACUCCAUGGGAAUACACUGUCUUUGUGAGGUCAGUUUGCUGUUGCCAUAACAAAGGUAGAUUAACAAAUAAUCAGUGGGAUAGAAUAGGGAGUGCUGAAAUACUAGAAGUUAUGUGGCAUAAAAUAUUGCAGGUUUUACAUGUAGAAGGAGAGAAAUUUGUCUGACAAACGGCAAGUGUAGCAUCAGUAGUUGUCCCAGCAUAAACUGUUCCAAAAGAAAAGACCUGUGUGACUUUUAUUUGUGCAGUAGAUGCUGGGAGGAGACCUGGAUUCCAUAAACUACAGCAGUUGAAACAUUUGUAAAAUAAUUUAUCUAUCACUGGAGACCACCUUUCAGGGAAACCAUCCAAAUGUUGGAGAUAGUUCAAAGGAGAGAUGCAAAUACAAGACACAGCAGGAAAAUAAAUCUCUCAGUAUGAAGCCUAAGAAGCUUAACUUUUUCAGAUUGAUGUAUGGAAGGCUAAGGCAUAAUGCCAUUUAAUGAAAAAGGCUUCUGGUUCACCACCUGUAGCAGUCCCAAUGGCUCCACCUGGAAAUAUCUUGCCCACCUCCAGGAGAAUGGAGAAAUCUUGUAGCAGGCUUCAUAU
ensembl:lncRNA